GACGAACGCUGGCGGCGUGCUUAACACAUGCAAGUCGAACGGUGACCCAGGGCUUGCCCUGGUGAUCAGUGGCGAACGGGUGAGUAACACGUGGGCAACCUGCCCCUGACUUCGGGAUAACUCCUCGAAAGAGGAGCUAAUACCGGAUACGACCACUUCGGACAUCCGAUGGUGGUGGAAAGUUUUUCGGUCGGGGAUGGGCCCGCGGCCUAUCAGCUAGUUGGUGGGUAAUGGCCUACCAAGGCGACGACGGGUAGCCGGCCUGAGAGGGCGACCGGCCACACUGGGACUGAGACACGGCCCAGACUCCUACGGGAGGCAGCAGUGGGGAAUAUUGCGCAAUGGGCGAAAGCCUGACGCAGCGACGCCGCGUGAGGGAUGAAGGCCUUC
rnacentral:rRNA from 1 species